rnacentral:rRNA from 1 species
UACGAAGGGGGCUAGCGUUGCUCGGAAUCACUGGGCGUAAAGGGUGCGUAGGCGGGUUUUUAAGUCAGAGGUGAAAUCCUGGAGCUCAACUCCAGAACUGCCUUUGAUACUGAAAGUCUUGAGUAUGGGAGAGGUGAGUGGAACUGCGAGUGUAGAGGUGAAAUUCGUAGAUAUUCGCAAGAACACCAGUGGCGAAGGCGGCUCACUGGGUCUUUACUGACGCUGAUGCACGAAAGCUAGGGUAGCAAACGGG